CAAUAGCGUAUAUUAAAAUUGUUGCGGUUAAAACGCUCGUAGUUGGAUUUCUGGUGGGAGCGAUCGGUCUGGCGCUUAGCGCGAGUACUUGCAUCGUCUCCGGCCAUCCUGGGGGAGAGUCUGUCUGGCAUUAGGUUGUCGGGCAGAGGAUCCUCAUCGUUUACUGUGAAAAAAUUAGAGUGUUCAAAGCAGGCUUAUGCCGUUGAAUAUAUUAGCAUGGAAUAAUAAGAUAGGACUUUGGUACUAUUUUGUUGGUUUGCGCACCAAAGUAAUGAUUAAUAGGGACAGUUGGGGGUAUUCGUAUUCCGUUGUCAGAGGUGAAAUUCUUGGAUUUACGGAAGACGAACUACUGCGAAAGCAUUUACCAAGGAUGUUUUCAUUAA
rnacentral:rRNA from 1 species